CAUCUAUGACGGCUACAGUUGACAUAAACAGAGUGCACGUGUUUGAAGUGCAUGUUAUAGACAGUACUGCCCGUGUGAUUAAUGUGCGAAACAACGAGAUGUUUCGUAAUAGUCGUCCUAUAAAGUUUCAGACAAGGAAAACUCAAUUGGAAACGGAUUAAUGGGUAAAUAAGUUGGGAUCGUUGGUGUAUGGGGUAUAAGACACCUCUUCAGCUGCUGGAUCAGAGGAUAGUAGCUCCAGCAACAGUAUUUCACAUGGUUUUAAGGUGCAACCAGGCAGGACUACAAAGUUUCACACAAUUCAGAUUCUGUAGUCAUAUUUUGAUCUUAACUUAAUAAGCCAUAUAUGCAACUUUCCUGUUUUCAGCUGAAACUGUAUGUGAGGAACAAAACGAAACAGCCACUGUUGUGUAUGAGAAUUUUGUUUAAAAUUGUAUGUAAAGAGUAGGGAAUAUGUAUAAGGGAAACAAUUUGUUUAAAGGUUUAAAUUCCCUGAUAUCAUAGUUAAAAUUGAGUAUGAUAUAGAAAACUAAACCAUACAUUUUCAUAGCAUAGCGUUUUAUUUUUAUUUCUCUUAUUUUAUUUUGUUCCUAAGCUUUUGGUUUUAACAGAAAACCUAUACAGUGUUAUUUAAAAAGAUAUAUAGUCUAUGUCCAUCUGAAUGUUUGUUAGAAUAUUGUACACAAAUUAAAAGGAAAUUAAUCCAGAACUUAUUAACUUUUUGCCAAAAAUGUGUGCCUAUGCAUCAAGUAUAUAGUAUAUAUUUAAAACUAUAUAGUCAGUUGCUGUGCAGAUAAAAAUUUGAAGUAAAUCAGUGAAGAACAUUCUGAGAUUUUUGCUGGAUGUGGACAUAUGUCCUAUUCCAAAUGGUUUCCGAGAUAGAACACUUUUAAUGUACAUUUCUGUAAUUUUCUGUAUUAUUCAUUGUCAUUGCUUACAAUGUACCAUAGUAAUAUAGAGGAAGUUGAGACGAGCAUUUUGAUACAGGAUGCUUGUGGUCUAACAAGUCGGAAAACUGCCUCAAAUUGGCCUACAAAAAGUACCUAAGCUACAGAGCACACGCCUCGCGCAAGAUUUUCAAUAUUCCUGUGAUCUCUCUGCGCAAACUAUUAGUCCUAGACAAAAAAUAAGUAGGACCUUUUUUGUAGAAAAUUUAAUUCAAUUUAAUUGUGUACUGAGACACAUGUUCAGUGGAAAGUUAUCAAAGAAAAGUUAUUAAAGAAAAACACACAAAAGUGAUAUAAAACGUGCUCUAUCUCGGAAACCGUUCGCAAUAGGGCAUAUGUCCAUAUGAAGUUUUUUUGUUCAGAAUCACUAAUGCUAUUGUGUCUUGAAGCAUGUACCUUUCCUCUUGACUCGCGCUGUGCGCGUGCGUGCACGCAUCUCUCUCUCUCUCUCUCUCUCUCUCUCUCU